rnacentral:rRNA from 1 species
CCUACGGGAGGCAGCAGUAGGGAAUUUUGCGCAAUGGGCGAAAGCCUGACGCAGCAACACCGCGUGAAUGUUAAGCCCUUCGGGGUGUAAAGUUCUGUCAAUAGGGACGAAUUUUGACUGUACCUAUAAAGGAAGCACCGGCUUACUACGUGCCAGCAGCCGCUGUAAUACGGGGGGUGCAAGCGUUGUCCGGAAUCAUUGGGCGUUAAGCGGUCGUAGGGGGCAAGUUAAGUCUGAUGUUAAAGCCCGGGGCUCAACUCCGGUUCGGCUAUGGAUACUAUCGAGCUAGCAGUUGGUAGAGGUAAAGGGAAUUGCUGGUGUAGCGGUGAAAUGCGUAGAAAUCAGGAGGAACAUCGGUGGCGAAAGCGCUUUACUGGACCAUUAUUGACGCUGAGGAACGAAAGCCAGGGGAGCAAAUGGGAUUAGAUACCCGUGUAGUC